UACGUAGGGUGCAAGCGUUGUUCGGAAUCAUUGGGCGUAAAGCGCGUGUAGGUGGCUUACCAAGUCGAUUGUGAAAGCCCUCGGCUCAACCGGGGAAGUGCAGUCGAAACUGGUAGGCUCGAGAACGGUAGAGGAAGGUGGAAUUCCUAGUGUAGAGGUGAAAUUCGUAGAUAUUAGGAGGAAUACCUGUGGCGAAGGCGGCCUUCUGGGCCGUUUCUGACACUGAGACGCGAAAGCGUGGGUAGCAAACAGG
rnacentral:rRNA from 1 species